rnacentral:rRNA from 1 species
UACGUAGGGUGCAAGCGUUGUCCGGAUUUAUUGGGCGUAAAGAGCGUGUAGGCGGCCUGACAGGUCUGCUGUGAAAACUCGAGGCUCAACCUCGAGAUGUCGGCGGAAACCGUCUGGCUAGAGUCCGGAAGAGGAGAGUGGAAUUCCUGGUGUAGCGGUGAAAUGCGCAGAUAUCAGGAAGAACACCUAUGGCGAAGGCAGCUCUCUGGGACGGUACUGACGCUGAGACGCGAAAAGCGUGGGGAGCGAACAGG